rnacentral:tRNA from 1 species
CCGCCCAUAGCUCAGUUGGUAGAGCAGAUCCCUCUUAAGGAUANNGGUCCCUGGUUCGAGCCCAGGUGGGCGGA